CACGUAGGGCGCAAGCGUUGUCCGGAAUUAUUGGGCGUAAAGAGCUCGUAGGCGGUCUGUUGCGUCCGCUGUGAAAACUCGGGGCUUAACCCCGAGCCUGCAGUGGAUACGGGCAGACUAGAGGUAGGUAGGGGAGAAUGGAAUUCCCGGUGUAGCGGUGAAAUGCGCAGAUAUCGGGAGGAACACCGGUGGCGAAGGCGGUUCUCUGGGCCUUACCUGACGCUGCGGAGCGAAAGCGUGGGGAGCGAACAGG
rnacentral:rRNA from 1 species